rnacentral:rRNA from 1 species
UACAGAGGUCUCAAGCGUUUGUUCGGAUUCAUUUGGGGCGUAAAGGGUGCGUAGGUGGCGCCGUAAGUCAGGUGUGAAAUUUCGGAGCUUAACUCCGAAACUGCAUUUGAUACUGCGGUGCUUGAGGACUGGAGAGGAGACUGGAAUUCACGGUGUAGCAGUGAAAUGCGUAGAUAUCGUGAGGAAGACCAGUGGCGAAGGCGGGUCUCUGGACAGUUCCUGACACUGAAGGCACGAAGGCCAGGGGGAGCAAAACGGG